GAGAUCAUGCUUCAUAAAACACCUGGUUCUUUGUGUAUCUGUCACACAAGGGAUAACCAAUAUGACUAUUUGGUUACAUUUGGCUUUUGUUGCUUAGUUUAUUCUUACAUAGAUGGGCAGCUGGAUGUUAGGGAAAAACAGGGACAGGAAAGAGACUCCAUCCAGUGGCUCUCUGAAGAUUCACCCUUGUUAUCAGUCACUUGGGAUUCUGUUAUCAGAAUUUGGGAUUGCUUGUUAUCACAGCAUUACCUAGUCUACCCUGACUAAUACAAGGGCACUUUGAGAAUCUGAUGGAAGCUCAGGCCACAAGAAAACUGCACAUUCAUGCAAAAUUCAGAACCUUUCAAUUUUAAUGUCUUGAGAUUUCGUUGUGUUUCUAAGAUCCUUGAUGUCCCACAGCCUCCUCUUCUCAGCCUUGGAAUCUGAGGCACCUGGGUUGUAAGUGAUGCUAUGUCAGUGUUCACAAAGGCUCACAAGUCUGCGAAGUGGCCAAGAUGAGCUGACCCUGUCACCAUGGAGCAAGGCCUAUGUGUGCAAAUGAGUCAUGAGCUGAGAGGAAAGAGCUUGAGCCUGAGCUUUUUUUUUUCUUUUCUUUUCUUUUCUUUUUAUGAUGAUUGCUUGAGCCUGAGCUUGUUUGCCAGAUGCUUUCACUAGCCCAAGCUUGUUUUGUGGAUGCUUUCUGCUGCCAGCUACUUUGUAGUCCCUCCUGUGUGACAGCAUCUUGCCAUCAACGGGCUGCAGAAGAAGGGGUGCUUGUUGCUAUUGUGAGCAAACACUGCAUAAACAAUCAGCUCACAUGUGUGUCCCAGAGCGUAUGACCAAUGACCUGGAGAACUCUCAGGCUGUGGGGUGGAGAGAAGGCCAUUCUGAGGUCAACUGAAACCUCACUUGAGGGGCAGUUCCGUAGAUGGGAAUGAGGAGAGAGUCAUGGCCACAGCCACCUGGCCAAGGAGAGAGGCCAUAACUGCCAGACAGAACCAAGGAUGGAGGGACUUCAGCAGCACGAACAAUCCACACUCAGCAUGGGUCACUCUCUGGGACACACAUUUCCCUCUGGCUGAAAGGCUGAGCUGCUCCAGGGCCAACUGUGAGGUCAGACAGCUGCCCAGGGAUGUCUCCAGCCACUCAAGGGAAGAAGAGACCACUCACCUGUAAUUUCAACAGCAACAAAAGACCUGAGGUUCCACCAUCAGAACUUCACGCCCUAAGGAAGAUGCAGCAUUUCCUGUAAAAUGCAAGUGCUCCCAGGCAGAGGUAGCUCCCGAAGCCAUGAUCAGUUAUGUAUACCUUAGUGGCAGCUGAUUAACAGACUCUUCCCCAGAGCCAGCUGACAGGAAGCACAUCGGGGUAAAAGGGAAGAUGAAAACUUGGGUGCCUGGAGGAAGGGAACAAAUGCGAGCAGGAGCAUGCUGGACAGGCUUUAGGGACCUGCUUGAGCAGAACAUGGUAGAAGUGAUGGACUGGGGCUUCUGAGGCUAAGCCAUAAGAAGCCUUGAGAAUUUCACCUGGCCCUCACUGUCUCUGGGAGCCCUGAGCCAUGAUAGAAGAAGUCCUUCCUAUAUUGAAUGUCCUUGAGACCUCCAGUACUGGAAAGGGCAUUUGUAGAUGCUCAGACCAACAGUCCAAACUGAGCCCAGUCUGCCAACUUGCCCUGCCAAGGUGUCAGAUGCAUAUGUGAAUGAGACCAUCCUAGACCUGCUGAUAGCCCAUCACCCGGCUGACUGCUACUGAGUAACCUCUGCCAACUUCACGCCGAACACAGAACUGCUGAUUUGAACUCUGCCUGAAUUUCUUGGCCCACAGAACAAUGAGAUAUAAUUAAAAGGCAAUGGUUCAAGCCA
rnacentral:lncRNA from 1 species